CCUACGGGGGGCUGCAGUGGGGAAUAUUGGACAAUGGGGGGAACCCUGAUCCAGCCAUGCCGCGUGUGUGAAGAAGGCCCUCGGGUUGUAAAGCACUUUCAGUGAGGAAGAACGCCUGGUGGUUAAUACCCAUCAGGAAAGACAUCACUCACAGAAGAAGCACCGGCUAACUCCGUGCCAGCAGCCGCGGUAAUACGGAGGGUGCGAGCGUUAAUCGGAAUUACUGGGCGUAAAGCGCGCGUAGGUGGCUUGAUAAGCCGGUUGUGAAAGCCCCGGGCUCAACCUGGGAACGGCAUCCGGAACUGUCAAGCUAGAGUGCAGGAGAGGAAGGUAGAAUUCCCGGUGUAGCGGUGAAAUGCGUAGAGAUCGGGAGGAAUACCAGUGGCGAAGGCGGCCUUCUGGAAUGACACUGACACUGAGGUGCGAAAGCGUGGGUAGCAAACAGGAUUAGAUACCCUUGUAGUC
rnacentral:rRNA from 1 species